CAAUUCUGUAACCUAUAUUUUUUUAAUGAGUUGUGAUAACAGUUCAAUAGGGAUCUGUAGGCAUUUAACAGACUGUGCAAAGUAUAACAUUAGCAGUUAACGUCGGCUACAAAUGUUUUACAUUUCUGUCAAUGAGUGAAAGAGCCUUGAAUUUACGUUGUGAUGCGAUGAAUUAUUAUUUUACAAAGACGUGUGUUCUACUAGUAGUUAUAAAUGGGUCUGAACUAUAGCUUUGGAUUUGUGUGCAAAAGUAUUAGAUGUACAAUAAGGCAGUAUAAAUCAGAUGGCUUUUACGUCACAACUCUCUUUCCCAGCAUGAAGCUCGGGCGCGGGCUUUCACACAUACGGACAGACAGACGACAAAGAAGCUCAUUGAUGUAGUAGAGGGUUUCACCAUGGACACGUUUGUCACAGAGACGUUGACUGCAUGGCAGCUUGAGAACUUGAUUGACACAUUUAAAGGCCAUCCACAGACACAAAGAAAGCCCUUGCCGUGGCAUUGGUGUAUGAAU